GACGAACGCUGGCGGCGUGCUUAACACAUGCAAGUCGAACGGAAAGGCCCUGCUUUUGUGGGGUGCUCGUGUGGCGAACGGGUGAGUAACACGUGAGUAACCUGCCCUUGACUUUGGGAUAACUUCAGGAAACUGGGGCUAAUACCGGAUAGGAGCUCCUGCUGCAUGGUGGGGGUUGGAAAGUUUCGGCGGUUGGGGAUGGACUCGCGGCUUAUCAGCUUGUUGGUGGGGUAGUGGCUUACCAAGGCUUUGACGGGUAGCCGGCCUGAGAGGGUGACCGGCCACAUUGGGACUGAGAUACGGCCCAGACUCCUAUGGGAGGCAGCAGUGGGGAAUAUUGCACAAUGGGCGGAAGCCUGAUGCAGCAACGCCGCGUGCGGGAUGACGGCCUUCGGGUUGUAAACCGCUUUCGCCUGUGACGAAGCGUGAGUGACGGUAAUGGGUAAAGAAGCACCGGCUAACUACGUG
rnacentral:rRNA from 1 species